rnacentral:rRNA from 1 species
AGCAGCCGCGGUAAUUCCAGCUCCAAUAGCGUAUAUUAAAGUUGUUGCAGUUAAAAAGCUCGUAGUUGAAUUUCGGGGUUAGUAGGUUGGUCGUGCCACUGGUAUGCACUGGUCUUACUGACUCCUCCUUCCUGAUGAACCGUAAUGCCAUUAAUUUGGUGUUGCGGGGAAACUGGACUGUUACUUUGAAAAAUUAGAGUGUUUAAAGCAAGCUAACGCUUGAAUACAUUAGCAUGGAAUAAUGAAAUAGGACGAUCGAUCCUAUUUUGUUGGUUUCUAGGAUUGACGUAAUGAUUAAUAGGGAUAGUUGGGGGCAUUAGUAUUCAAUUGUCAGAGGUGAAAUUCUUGGAUUUAUUGAAGACUAACUACUGCGAAAGCAUUUGCCAAGGAUGUUUUCAUUAAUCAAGAACGAAAGUUAGGGGAUCGAAGACGAUCAGAUACCGUCGUAGUCUUAACCAUAAACUAUGCCGACUAGGGAUCGGAUGAUGUUAAUUUUUUAAUGACUCAUUCGGCGCCUUAC